rnacentral:rRNA from 1 species
AAACUCUGUUGUAAGGGAAGAACACGUACGAGAGUAACUGCUCGUACCUUGACGGUACCUUAUUAGAAAGCCACGGCUAACUACGUGCCAGCAGCCGCGGUAAUACGUAGGUGGCAAGCGUUGUCCGGAAUUAUUGGGCGUAAAGCGCGCGCAGGCGGUUCUUUAAGUCUGAUGUGAAAGCCCACGGCUCAACCGUGGAGGGUCAUUGGAAACUGGAGAACUUGAGUACAGAAGAGGAAAGCGGAAUUCCACGUG